CCUACGGGAUGCAGCAGUGGGGAAUAUUGCGCAAUGGGCGAAAGCCUGACGCAGCGACGCCGCGUGAGGGAUGAAGGUCUUCGGAUCGUAAACCUCUGUCAGCAGGGAAGAACGGUCACUGUGCUAAUCAGCAGUGAAUUGACGGUACCUGCAAAGGAAGCACCGGCUAACUCCGUGCCAGCAGCCGCGGUAAUACGGAGGGUGCGAGCGUUAAUCGGAAUUACUGGGCGUAAAGCGCUCGUAGGCGGUAUGUCAAGUCAAGGGUGAAAUCCCCGCGCUCAACGUGGGAACUGCCUUUGAAACUGGCAAACUGGAGUGUGUGAGAGGAUAGUGGAAUUCCAGGUGUAGGAGUGAAAGCCGUAGAUAUCUGGAGGAACAUCAGUGGCGAAGGCGACUAUCUGGCACAUAACUGACGCUGAGGAGCGAAAGCGUGGGUAGCAAACAGGAUUAGAUACCCCAGUAGUC
rnacentral:rRNA from 1 species